rnacentral:rRNA from 1 species
AACGAACGCUGGCGGCAGGCCUAACACAUGCAAGUCGAACGCUCUAGCAAUAGAGAGUGGCAGACGGGUGAGUAACGCGUGGGAACCUUCCCAGUGGUGCGGAAUAGCUCAGGGAAACUUGGGGUAAUACCGCAUGAGCCCGAAAGGGGAAAGAUUUAUCGCCAUUGGAUGGGCCCGCGUAGGAUUAGCUAGUUGGUGAGGUAAUGGCUCACCAAGGCAACGAUCCUUAGCUGGUUUGAGAGAAUGACCAGCCACACUGGGACUGAGACACGGCCCAGACUCCUACGGGAGGCAGCAGUGGGGAAUAUUGGACAAUGGGCGCAAGCCUGAUCCAGCCAUGCCGCGUGAGUGACGAAGGCCUUAGGGUUGUAAAGCUCUUUUGGCGGGGACGAUAAUGACGGUACCCGCAGAAUAAGCCCGGCUAACUUCGUG